rnacentral:lncRNA from 1 species
GAGGGUAUCAAACGGCUGUACUCUCAAAAGUUCAGAGACAAAAAUACAUCAGCCAAAAACUGCAGUAUACUCUUAGUACCAGUAACAGCAUAUGACUUUCUGUAAGUGCCUGCAUUUUUUUUUUUUGGGAGUUUUAGCCAAGGGUCAACAAUGAAGGCAAUACGACAGUGGAGAAUAGGACUUACCUACCAAAGGAGCAUAGGAGGAGACCCCCCACCAGCAGUAAUGAUGGAGUUAGAGCCCCUGAUUAAAGGAAAGUCACCGAAUACAUGCAGCACUGGGAGGAAUGUUGGAAGAACAAAAGGACACGUAAAACAGCUCCUGUGAUGACUAGGGGAAUAGCUCUGCGUAUUUACUUUCUGAUCAGUGAACCCUGGAAUGACAUCUGCUUUCUUUUUUGAUAUGGGGAGAGAAGAGGUGAAACAAUAUCCUGUAAAGAAAAUCUUGAAAACACAGACGAAAAUUAGCUUUGCCUUUUAGGAGCUGAACCAAGGUUAUAUAACCUUGACAACCUUAACACGCAUCUUCUACAAUGGAGAAUUUAUCAAUUCUAUCAUUUUGGCAAAGAAGAUUUUGGAGGAGUAAUGUGUUGAGCAAAGACCAGAAGAUUCAGCUUAAAAGGAGGAAGUGUCCACAAAAUAAAACAAAUUGUUCCAAAUGAUUUCA